GGAGGAUUACCCAAGUCUGGUUAAGGGAGCUGUCUUGAAAACAGUCAGGCGUGUAAAAGCGUGCGGGGGUUCGAAUCCCUCAUCCUCCG
rnacentral:tRNA from 1 species